AAGAGAACUUGCCCUUCGGGGUAUAUCUCCCACCCUAUGUUUAUAUACCUUUGUUGCUUUGGCGGGCCCGUCUCACGACCACCGGCAUUUUCGCUGGUCAGUGCCCGCCAGAGGACCCCAACUCUAAAUUUUAUGUCGUCUGAGUACUAUAUAAUAGUUA
rnacentral:misc_RNA from 1 species